GGGAUGAAUAGAAGGACUAUUAGGAAAGACUGGGAAUGACCAGCCUUCAUGGGUCAGUUUGAGGGGAUUCCCACAUAUCCGGACGUGAACCGCCUAUGGAGCAUUGUGGACAAAUACAAGGUGACCAAGUUCUACACAGCACCCACAGCCAUCCGUCUGCUCAUGAAGUUUGGAGAUGAGCCUGUCACCAAGCAUAGCCGGGCAUCCUUGCAGGUGUUAGGCACAGUGGGUGAACCCAUCAACCCUGAGGCCUGGCUAUGGUACCACCGAGUGGUAGGUG
rnacentral:sRNA from 1 species